GGUCAGUAAAUAAUUGUUGGCCGAUUUGUUGCCUACUUCGAGGCCAGUCGGUGAAAUGAGGGCUUCCUUCUUCAAGAAAUACGUUGCCAGUCGUCAGUCGGAUGCCACUCGUCUUCUAAACAUCGCACUUGAUGCAAACAGCGCAGUUGGAUGGACGGGAGGCGAGGAAUUCAUCGUUUUCAAUUUUCACCCUGUUCUGAGCUGCCAUUACCUUGCAGCUGGCAGCACCACGACGGAAUUUUUGCACAAGGGACACUAGGUGAAUUCAACUCCUCAGAGAUAUCGCCAUGACAGGCAUACAUGGCAAGAGGAAGUCAUGCCCCAGCACUGACAGGCCUCCAGCGAAGGUCCUAUGUGAACGCAAAGCCACGGCAGUGCAAACAUUACCAGCAACGAGAGGGAUUUCUUAUCCGGCGUCAGGCUGUACUCGGAUAGAAGCUGUUUCUGCUUGCUUUGCAGAAAUUUCGUCACCAUUGCAGUGAUCUAGCCAAAGCCGGCUGGGAGGGCGACCUGCCAGCUCCAAUGGCCGGCUGCAGUCACCCCCAUGUAGACUGUAGUGCACUGCACUAGCACUUGAGUCGAGAUGGUGGAGUACAACCCAUAUCCUAGGCAUAGGUAUGUACAGUAAAGUACGUAGCACUGGCUACUCAGGCUCAGUGCUAGCUCUUCACUCAAGCUCAAGCUCAAAUGCACUUGAGUAUGCACUUGAGUACGUCAGUAAAAUGUAACAGUUCGGGUCAAGGUUCGCUGCUUCUGGUGGUGUACAUGGCUGUGGCUAGACUGGGUCUUGUCAGAUGACUAAUGUACACUGCAUGCAGAAAUGACCUUGGUGAACACAUGAUCCAUGCUCAUGUAGCUGUUUGCUUCCUUUUUCAUAUUUUGUUAAAGGGAAAGUUAAGGCAAAAAUUAAAAUUUCACCAGUUGUAGUCUUCGGGGUGCUGAGUC